rnacentral:rRNA from 1 species
CCAAUUCCUAUACCUCUGUGCACCUUUCAUAGGUUGGUUUGUGGCUCUCUGCCUUGCUGCAGAAGUAGCUCUGACCUUCCCGUGCUUACAUUUAUACGUCUCAGUUUAGAAUGUCUUAUUGCAGUCUAAUGCAUAUAAUACAACUUUCAGCAACGGAUCUCUUGGCUCUCGCAUCGAUGAAGAACGCAGCGAAAUGCGAUAAGUAAUGUGAAUUGCAGAAUUCAGUGAAUCAUCGAAUCUUUGAACGCACCUUGCGCUCCUUGGUAUUCCGAGGAGCAUGCCUGUUUGAGUGUCAUGGUAUUCUCAACCCUCCAAAUCUUUGCGGAAAUGGAUGGGCUUGGAUGUGGAGGUUUAUGCUGGCUUCUAUAUGAGGUCGGCUCCUCUGAAAUGCAUUAGGCACGAAUCUUACUUAAUGUGCCUCAGUGUGAUAAUUGUCUAGCGCUGUGGUCAUGAUGUAUAAUAUAUUUGCGCUUCUAACCUGU